rnacentral:misc_RNA from 1 species
CGGCGGCGAACCUCCAAGAGAGCGCGAGCUCCUCUUCCGAAGCACCGCGCGUCCAGACGGAUCGUUAAAAAGUAAGAGAAGUAAUGGCCCUGUACCGAAAGUGGCGUCACGGAUUCGACCGCGCGGCAAAUCGGCUCUCGUGCACCGAUUUCGAGAUGGUACCAGCUCCGUCGAACUUCCUCAUCAUCCACGGAGAAUGAUUAGUCGGUCUUUUUUGUGGCUAUGUAUACGGGAGCGAAAAACGUGUCUACUGUGCUCCACCGGCCUAGAGGCGGCCAGCCACAAAGGAAGAAGCCAAGACAAGGUAGUUUGUUGGGGAGCAGCUUACAGGGAACCAACACGAGCUACUUGUUUGCACGAACGGCCCGGUCACCCACAUAACGUUUACACAAGAGAACGGGAGCCUCGCGCUUAUCGGCCACCAUGCUGUUUAUCGUUAUUAAAAUACGCUUAAACGUAACCUGUAAGCCAUCACGUUUUAAGGUUUCAAAGGCUUGAAACGGUUACACGACACUUGUUAGUUGAC